CAUGAAAAGAGUCCGAUGGAGUGGCGAGGAAGACAAACGCAUCCAAGACGAAGGGACAGACAAGGGGGCAGACGGAAAGUUCAGACAAAGAGACGGCGAACGGCGUGAGGCGACAGGAAAGUCCCACCGACAGCACACCGGCGAACCCACGCUUGCGCGCGCGCCCCCCUUGCAGAGGCGGACGGCGCCGCCUUCGCGGUCCUUGGGAGAGGGGGACGCUGAUGACGUCAAAGCCGGCGCCGAGCCACUCCACCAGCUCGAAUCCAACAACGUUGACGUUCCCAACGCCGCUUCGGAUUUUGAGUCGCAGGAAGCCCGGCGGGGAAGUCGCUCGUUUACAUUUUUUUUUUUUUUUUUGCUUUUACGCAGUCGCUCGCCGCACCCACUGUACUGCGUCAACGAACCCCUCGACCGUUGAGAACGAUGGUCACAAAUUCUUCACACUUUUUACACAACGCUUGAAUACUUCUAACAUGAUGGCGCUUCCUCACAUCUUUUGUGCAGCACAGACAAACAUUCUGACACCAGAGACCAAUAACUCAAACAAAGGCCGGAAAAAAGUCGCCAAAGACGAACGGGGUUGUAGGUCACCUGAAGGACGUGGAGGCGCGUACGCUCACGCACCUCCACAUCCACGCGCGUGAUUCAUGCACAUUGGCCGUCCGUUCCUACGCGCGCAUGGCGUGGAUCCAUUCAGUCGCUCAGAGCAUCACCCCCUCCACCCUCCAC